CCCUUAGAUGUUCUGGGCCGCACGCGCGCUACACUGACGAAUGCAACGAGCUUAUAACCUUGGCCGAAAGGUCUGGGUAAUCUCCAAAUUUCGUCGUGAUGGGGAUAGAUUAUUGCAAUUAUUAAUCUUCAACGAGGAAUGCCUAGUAAGCGCAAGUCAUCAGCUUGCGUUGAUUACGUCCCUGCCCUUUGUACACACCGCCCGUCGCACCUACCGAUUGAAUGGUCCGGUGAAAUCUCGGGACGGCGGCUUGGUCGCUUGCGUCCGACUGCCGAAACUUGAUUAAACCAUAUCAUUUAGAGGAAGGUGAAGUCGUANCA
rnacentral:rRNA from 1 species